UAAACCUGCCCAUGUGUCCGGGAUAACUGCUGGAAACGGUAGCUAAAACCGGAUAGGUAUACAGAGCGCAUGCUCAGUAUAUUAAAGCGCCCAUCAAGGCGUGAACAUGGAUGGACCUGCGGCGCAUUAGCUAGUUGGUGAGGUAACGGCUCAUCAAGGCGAUGAUGCGUAGCCGGCCUGAGAGGGUAAACGGCCACAUUGGGACUGAGACACGGCCCAA
rnacentral:rRNA from 1 species